rnacentral:rRNA from 1 species
GAUGAACGCUAGCGAUAGGCCUAACACAUGCAAGUCGAGGGGCAGCACAUGAGUAGCAAUACGAUGGUGGCGACCGGCGCACGGGUGAGUAACACGUAUGCAACCUACCUUUAACAGGGGAAUAACCCGUUGAAAAACGGACUAAUACUCCAUAACACAGGGGUCCCGCACGGGAAUAUUUGUUAAAGAUUUAUCGGUUGUAGAUGGGCAUGCGUUCCAUUAGCUUGUUGGUGAGGUAACGGCUCACCAAGGCCACGAUGGAUAGGGGAACUGAGAGGUUUAUCCCCCACACUGGAACUGAGACACGGUCCAGACUCCUACGGGAGGCAGCAGUGAGGAAUAUUGGUCAAUGGAGGCAACUCUGAACCAGCCAAGUCGCGUGAAGGAUGAAGGUCUUAUGGAUUGUAAACUUCUUUUGCAAGGGAAUAAAGUGGGGGACGUGUCCUCCUUUGCAUGUACCUUGCGAAUAAGGAUCGGCUAACUCCGUGCCAGCAGCCGCAGUAA